rnacentral:misc_RNA from 1 species
CGUACUCUCACACUCUCUGGUCCUUUGGAUUCAGGAGCGGUGGACUUGGGUGUUUGCUGCUUUCCUUGUAGCUCACCUCAAAUGCGUUAGUGCACCUCUUGGUUGGACAUAGAACGGCGUGAUAAGUGUCUUCGCCGGCACCUCGCAAGAGGGUGGCCAAUUGGGAGCUCUGUGCUUUCAAACCGUCUUUGGACAAUCUCUGACA